AAAUUAAAUUUCUUCAAUAAAUAUUGCUGAAAUAAUAAUAUUUUUUGGCAUAAUAGUCACAGUAAAAAUUAAUUCAAUUUAAAUCAAUUACAUUUAUCAAUAAACUAUUAAAAUAAUUAUUCAUUCUUUAGAGAAAACAAAUGUUCGGAUUAAGAAAAAAAGGCAAUAUUUGAGAAAAGUAAUAAAAAUUAAAACUAGGUUAAAUUAAGUUAUUCAGGUACUGUGUGAUAGAUAAUUAAGAUAAACAAAAUGUUUUAUUUUAUUUUUAAUGUGGUUUUACAUCGAAAUAAUUAACUAUUGUUUUUCCAAAAAAUACAUUUUAUUUUAUCAUUUUUAAAAUUGUAGUCUGUUCUCAAACUUUUAAUGAUCUCGGUCACCAAAAUGUCGGCAUGGGUACGUCUUUGAAUAAACGAAAACUAAAAUUUGCAAAAUUAUACAGUCAAACAAUUUUAUUGUUUCAUUCGUAAAAUAUGCAAAAAGAGAAAUUUCCUUUGGUGAAUCAAAUAAAUUAUGUAUCAAUACCGACUAUUGAAUAUACAUGAAUUAUUCUAUUUAUAAAUGUACAGUAGUGGCCAGACAAAUAGCACAAAAUUUAAAAUCAAACUUUUCACUAAAGGAUUUACAUUUUAUACUUAUUUUUGGCUUUUUUUUGUUACACAUCUUAUAUAAGUCUAAUUUGGUUGGCCAAACAAAUAGUACAUUCAAAUGUAUUUACGUUUUGUGUAAGUAUUUAAUAAUACUCUUAAUAGUUAGAAUUUAUACUUAGUAGGAGAUAUAUUAUUUUAUUGAAUAAAUUCACUUUCAAUGAGAAGAAAACAUAAUACUCUCCAAAGAAGAGGAAAAUAAUAAUUAACAUAAAAUAUCAAGGUCUAAAUAUUGCUGAUAUCGCUAAAAACUUAUGAUGUUUCCGAAAAAUGGUUUUACAAUGUUUAUUAAUAAAUAGGAAACACGACACUAAAUUGAAAAUAAAAUAAGAAAAUGUCCUAACAACAACAUAAUUUCUUUUAUUGACAUAGAAAUCGGAAACAUCAGUCAUACAGUGUAUCAAUGUGUCUAGUAGGACAAUCAGACGUCGAUUGAAUGAACAAAACUUGCAAUGAUUUAUUUCUGUAAAGAAGCCAUUUUUAUCAAAAAAGAAUAUUCGAACAAGACUAAAAGUUUGCACAAAAAUGUAUUAAUUAUCCUCCAGAAUUUUGGCGAAAGAUACUUUGAAGUGAUGGAUCCAUGUUCAAUACAACAAGAUCAGAUGGUAAAAAUUAUAAUUAAUCAUCGUCCUCCUGAUAGAAGUUUGGAUCUUAGAUAUAUUUCAAACACAAUAAAACACGAUGGAAUAUUUUUUUUUAGAUUCCUUUCCUUGAUAUGGUGUAAGACCAUUACAAAAAAUUAUCAGUAAAAUGGACCAUUUCGUAGACACUAUAUAGAGACAUCAAGAGAGGUGUAAAGCAAUAAUUUAUCAACGAUAGUUACAUGGAUUUUUAUCAGUGAUAAUGAUAUGAAUCAGUGUAACAAAAGUUGUUCAUAGUUGGUUAAAAGAUAAAAAGAGAUUCUCAAUUGGCCAGGGUAUUGACCUGAUCUAAAUACUAUUGAAAACUUGUGGAAUUAUAUGUAAUCUCUAUUAAAACACCAAAAAGCAUCAAAUUUUAAUGAUGGUUAUUCAUUGAAUAUUUGUUUCACUAUUUACAGGUGUGUAUAAAUUAUUUAACAAAUAUACAUUUUUCAAAUAUGUGCUAUUUCUGUGAGCAGCCACAUUUCACAUUUAUUUCGUUUAAGAUUUAAUUUAAGUAGAAAUUAUUUUGAUUUAGAUACAUAAUGAAUAAUGGCAUUAUUUCAUCAUUAAUGUUAAGAUAACAAUGUGUGCUAUUUCUCUGACCGCCGCUGUAAAUAUAGCAACAAGUUGUACAAUAAAAUUUACAUUGAAAGUAAGUUAAUUAAAGCUAUUUAUUAAUACACAUACAAAAUACAUGUAAAAUAAUUAGAAACAUGGAGAUAAAAGUAGAGAUAAUUCCCGUAUACGUAAUAAUCUUAUAUGCUAUAUACGUUAGUGACCAAUUUAAUUAACCAAACAUGAAAUUAUUUAUUCAAGCAAUAAAUUACUUCAAAAGAAUUACGGGUAAUUCCCUGAUCGGUAAAAGCCAGAGCCCGUCUCCCAAUGCUCGAUAACAAUUCGCAUAUAUAAAUGUCGUAUUAAGAAGCGGUUUAUCUUCUACUGCAACAGCCGAUAGUCACAACAGCACAAUGAACAAGUUAAACAUCUUUGCCUUGUGUGUGGUACUUUCCGCCGUGGUACUCAUCACGUACGCCAAACCAUUGGUACCCGAAGAACUUGAAGAUGAAGAAUACAGAUUAGAUCAUGUCGGACGUGUAAAACGCGUAACUUGCGACCUUUUGAGUUUGAACAUCAACAUUCUUGGUAGCGGUGGACAACUCAACCAUUCAGCUUGUGCGGCUCACUGUUUGUAUUUGAAGAAGAAAGGCGGACACUGCAAUGCUGACGGUGUUUGUGUUUGUAGAAAAUAAAAUUUUAGUUGAUUAAUAAAUAUUUAUUGUUUUAUA